rnacentral:rRNA from 1 species
ACAUAGCCUUAAGAACUUGUUUAAGGUGAAGCCUGCUCAUGAGGAAUAAAUAGCCGCGGUACCCUGACCGUGCUAAGGUAGCAUAAUCAGUUGACUUUUAAAUGAAGUCUGGUAUGAAAGGAAAUACGGGGUUUCGCUGUCUCAGAAUUUUUCUUUCGAAUUUACUUAUUAGGUGAAAAGGCCUAAAAUUGAUAAGGGACGAGAAGACCCUUAGAGCUUUUUAAUAAUUUUGUUGGGGCAACAGAGAAUCAUUUAAUAUUCUUAAAUUUAUAAGACGGGUUUACCAUGAAUAGAUAAGCUACCUGAGGGAUAACAGCAUAAUCUUUAUUAGGUUUGUGACCUCGAUGUUGGACUAGGAAGCCUAUAGGCUAGCCGCCUAUAAGGGAGAUUCUGUUCGAAUUUUUACUCCUACGUGAU